UACGUAGGGAGCAAGCGUUGUCCGGAUUUACUGGGUGUAAAGGGCGAGUAGGCGGGAUUGCAAGUCAGAUGUGAAAACUAUCGGCUUAACUGAUAGACUGCAUUUGAAACUGUGAUCCUUGAGUGAUGGAGAGGCAGGCGGAAUUCCUAGUGUAGCGGUGAAAUGCGUAGAUAUUAGGAGGAACACCAGUGGCGAAGGCGGCCUGCUGGACAUUAACUGACGCUGAGGCGCGAAAGCGUGGGGAGCAAACAGG
rnacentral:rRNA from 1 species